UGGGGAAUAUUGCACAAUGGGGGAAACCCUGAUGCAGCGACGCCGCGUGAAGGAAGACGGGUUUCGGAUUGUAAACUUCUGUUCUUAGUGAAGAAUAAUGACGGUAGCUAAGGAGCAAGCCACGGCUAACUACGUGCCAGCAGCCGCGGUAAUACGUAGGUGGCAAGCGUUGUCCGGAAUUACUGGGUGUAAAGGGAGCGCAGGCGGGAGACCAAGUCAGCUGUGAAAACUACGGGCUUAACCUGUAGACUGCAGUUGAAACUGGUUUUCUUGAGUGAAGUAGAGGUUGGCGGAAUUCCGAGUGUAGCGGUGAAAUGCGUAGAUAUUCGGAGGAACACCGGUGGCGAAGGCGGCCAACUGGGCUUUAACUGACGCUGAGGCUCGAAAGUGUGGGGAGCAAACAGGAUUAGAUACC
rnacentral:rRNA from 1 species